rnacentral:rRNA from 1 species
AAUCAACGCUGGCGGCGUGCCUAACACAUGCAAGUCGAACGCGAAAGGGGGCUUCGGCUCCUGAGUAGAGUGGCGUCCGGGUGAGUAACACGUAGGUAAUCUACCUUCGGGUGGGGAAUAACCAGUCGAAAGAUUGGCUAAUACCGCAUAAUGCAGCGGCACCUAAUGGUGAUUAGUUGUUAAAGCGGGGGAUCGUAAGACCUUGCGCCUGAAGAGGAGCCUGCGGCAGAUAGCUAGUUGGUGAGGUAAUGGCUCACCAAGGCAUCGAUCUGUAGCUGGUCUGAGAGGACGGCCAGCCACACUGGCACUGACACACGGGCCAGACUCCUACGGGAGGCAGCAGUGGGAAUUUUGGGCAAUGGGCGAAAGCCUGACCCAGCAACG